UACGUAGGGUGCAAGCGUUAAUCGGAAUUACUGGGCGUAAAGCGUGCGCAGGCGGCGCGUUAAGACAGGUGUGAAAGCCCCCGAGCUUAACUUGGGAAUUGCGCUUGUGACUGGCGGGCUGGAGUGUGGCAGAGGGAGGUGGAAUUCCACGUGUAGCAGUGAAAUGCGUAGAGAUGUGGAGGAACACCGAUGGCGAAGGCAGCCUCCUGGGCCAGCACUGACGCUCAUGCACGAAAGCGUGGGGAGCAAACAGG
rnacentral:rRNA from 1 species